CCUCGGAAUCUACUUUUUCGUGGGGGAUAACGUAGGGAAACUUACGCUAAUACCGCAUACGACCUACGGGUGAAAGCAGGGGACCUUCGGGCCUUGCGCGAUUGAAUGAGCCGAUGUCGGAUUAGCUAGUUGGCGGGGUAAAGGCCCACCAAGGCGACGAUCCGUAGCUGGUCUGAGAGGAUGAUCAGCCACACUGGAACUGAGACACGGUCCAGACUCCUACGGGAGGCAGCAGUGGGGAAUAUUGGACAAUGGGCGCAAGCCUGAUCCAGCCAUACCGCGUGGGUGAAGAAGGCCUUCGGGUUGUAAAGCCCUUUUGUUGGGAAAGAAAUCCAGCCGGUUAAUACCUGGUUGGGAUGACGGUACCCAAAGAAUAAGCACCGGCUAACUUCGUGCCAGCAGCCGCGGUAAUACGAAGGGUGCAAGCGUUACUCGGAAUUACUGGGCGUAAAGCGUGCGUAGGUGGUUGUUUAAGUCUGUUGUGAAAGCCCUGGGCUCAACCUGGGAACUGCAGUGGAAACUGGACAACUUGAGUGUGGUAGAGGGUAGCGGAAUUCCCGGUGUA
rnacentral:rRNA from 1 species